rnacentral:rRNA from 1 species
AACGAACGCUGGCGGCGUGGAUAAGACAUGCAAGUCGAACGGGACUAAAUCUGUAGCAAUACAGGUUUAGUUUAGUGGCGAACGGGUGCGUAACACGUGGGCAAUCUGCCGAGAAGUGGGGGAUAGCUCGCCGAAAGGCGAAUUAAUACCGCAUAUGAUCAGCUAAGACAUCUUAGCGACAUCAAAGCCGGGGUAACCUGGCGCUUCUUGAUGAGCCCGCGGCCUAUCAGCUAGUUGGUGAGGUAACGGCUCACCAAGGCUAUGACGGGUAGCUGGUCUGAGAGGACGACCAGUCACACUGGAACUGAGACACGGUCCAGAC